AUUAAGUUAGUUUAGCUAAAAUACCAGUUUGUGGGUCUGGAGAGAAAACUAAGGUUUUACUUAAUC
rnacentral:tRNA from 1 species